AGGAUGAACGCUGGCGGCGUGCCUAACACAUGCAAGUCGAACGUCCUGUCUCGCAAGAGGCAGGGAGUGGCGGACGGGUGAGUACCACGUGGGUCAUCUACCGUGAGGUGAGGAAUACCGGCGAGAAAUCGCCGACAAGACCGCAUAGGCUCGAUGCAAGUCGAGCAAAGCUCUUUCGAGAGAGGGAGCGCCACACGAGGAGCCUGCGCCCGAUUAGCUAGCUGGUGGAGUAACGGUUCACCAGGGCGACGAUCGGUAGCUGGUCUGAGAGGACGAUCAGCCACACUGGGAUUGAGAACGGCCCAGACUCCUACGGGGGGCAGCAGUGAGGAAUUUUCGUCAAUGGGGGCAACCCUGAACGAGCAACGCCGCGUGCAGGAAGAAGGUUUCGGAUCGUAAACUGCUUUUCGUCGGGAAGAGAACGGACGGUACCGAGGAAUCAGCCCCGGCUAACUACGUGCCAGCAGCCGCGGU
rnacentral:rRNA from 1 species